AGAGUUUGAUCCUGGCUCAGGACGAACGCUGGCGGCGUGCCUAACACAUGCAAGUUGUACGAGAAGCCUGACCUCUUAUCCUUCGGGAUGAAAGGACAGGCAGAAAGUGGCGAACGGGUGAGUAACGCGUGGGUAAUCUACCCUGUAAGUGGGGAAUAACCCUCCGAAAGGAGGGCUAAUACCGCAUAAUAUCUUCCCAUCACAAGACGGAAAGAUCAAAGAUGGCCUCUGCAUAUGCUAUCGCUUCAGGAUGAGCCCGCGUCCUAUUAGUUUGUUGGUGAGGUAAUGGCUUACCAAGACUGCAAUGGGUAGCCGGUCUGAGAGGAUGUACGGCCACACUGGGACUGAGAUACGGCCCAGACUCCUACGGGAGGCAGCAGUGGGGAAUAUUGCGCAAUGGGGGAAACCCUGACCCAGCAACGCCGCGUGAGGGAAGAAUGUCUUCGGAUUGUAAACCUCUGUCCUUGGGGACGAAAAAAAUGACGGUACCCAAGGAGGAAGCUCCGGCUAACUACGUGCCAGCAGCCGCGGUAAUACGUAGGGAGCAAGCGUUGUCCGGAAUUAUUGGGCGUAAAGGGUGCGUAGGCGGUAAUCCAAGUCAGAUGUGAAAUCCCCGGGCUUAACUCGGGUCGUGCAUUUGAAACUGGGUUACUUGAGUGCAGGAGAGGAAAGCGGAAUUCCUAGUGUAGCGGUGAAAUGCGUAGAUAUUAGGAGGAACACCAGUGGCGAAGGCGGCUUUCUGGACUGCAACUGACGCUGAGGCACGAAAGCGUGGGGAGCAAACAGGAUUAGAUACCCUGGUAGUCCACGCUGUAAACGAUGGAUACUAGGUGUAGGGGAGAUACUACCUCUGUGCCGGAGCUAACGCAAUAAGUAUCCCGCCUGGGGAGUACGGUCGCAAGGCUGAAACUCAAAGGGAAUUGACGGGGACCCGCACAAGCAGCGGAGCAUGUGGUUUAAUUCGAUGCAACGCGCAGAACCUUACCAGCCCUUGACAUGCUUGCUAAAGCGGCAGAGAUGCCGUGUCUUUGGGGGAGCUUGCACCAGGUGCUGCAUGGCUGUCGUCAGCUCGUGUCGUGAGAUGUUGGGUUAAGUCCCGCAACGAGCGCAACCCUUGCCUUUAGUUGCCAUCAGGUUUGGCUGGGCACUCUAAAGGAACUGCCGGUGACAAGCCGGAGGAAGGUGGGGAUGACGUCAAGUCCUCAUGGCCCUUACGGGCUGGGCUACACACGUGCUACAAUGGUGGUGACAGUGGGCAGCGAGCGGGCGACCGUGAGCUAAUCUCCAAAAACCAUCUCAGUUCGGAUUGCAGGCUGCAACUCGAGAGCAUGAAGCUGGAAUCACUAGUAAUCGUAGAUCAGCUAUGCUACGGUGAAUACGUUCCCGGGUCUUGUACUCACCGCCCGUCACACCAUGGGAGUUGAUUUCACCCGAAGCGGGGAAGCUAAACUGGCUACCCUCCACGGUGGAAUCAGCGACUGGGGUGAAGUCGUAACAAGGUAACC
rnacentral:rRNA from 1 species